rnacentral:rRNA from 1 species
ACGAAGGGUGCAAGCGUUACUCGGAAUUACUGGGCGUAAAGCGUGCGUAGGUGGUUCGUUAAGUCCGAUGUGAAAGCCCUGGGCUCAACCUGGGAAUGGCAUUGGAUACUGGCGGGCUAGAGUGCGGUAGAGGGUAGUGGAAUUCCCGGUGUAGCAGUGAAAUGCGUAGAGAUCGGGAGGAACAUCCGUGGCGAAGGCGACCAUCUGGACGGACACUGACGCUGAGGCGCGAAAGCGUGGGGAGCAAGCAGGA